UGUGAUGGAAAUAGCACCAUAUAAGGCAAGACUAAAUUGAAUGUUCAAAUUGUGCUCGUUAACAACUGAUCUGGUUUGGUACAUCUCAAACCAUUCGAUUCAGCAUGGUGAGCAAUCAUUGCUUAGAACUUAUAAGCAAAACAAAUUUUAUUUCUAAUUCUUGCAGAGGGAGCAUACAGUGGACUUUCAGAUUCAUUCAUUUCCUUAUCGUUACUUGUCAAAGCACUAAUAGUCAUUAUAUUAAUUUUAUGGAUCUAAAAGAAAGUCUUUGAGGUUACGUUUGGUAUAUUAUCGGACAGUAAUAAUUUAGAUUAUCUGAUAAUCUAAAUUAUCUGC
rnacentral:lncRNA from 1 species